rnacentral:lncRNA from 1 species
AACUCUUAUUCUACGUAUCUUGACACAUCAUCUUCGCGUGUAAACUCGAUUUUUUUCCGUGCAGAAUUUUCUUAUGUUGACCAGCUAACUUAUCCUCAAUUAAUUCAAAGGAUGACUUACGUGCACUCGUCACCCGCUUUCGAAUAUCUGCAUUUUCAUUAAUAUUGUCUGCUUCCUCGGCUAUUCACAUACCAGGAAUAUGUCUCAUGUUACAAUUUUGCUGAUUAGUCACAGAUUGUACAAUAAUUUAUCAUAUCAAUUCCCUCGUCGAAUCGGUAAAAGAAUGAAAGAGUUGAUAACUCAUGUUUGGUUAGUGAGCAAAAAAUAAUAUUCCAAAAAUAUUUAUAUAUAAUUCAUACAAAUACACUUUUAUAUAUAAUUCAUACAAUUUUGCUGAUUAGUCACAGAUUGUACAAUAAUUUAUCAUAUCAAUUCCCUCGUCGAAUCGGUAAAAGAAUGAAAGAGUUGAUAACUCAUGUUUGGUUAGUGAGCAAAAAAUAAUAUUCCAAAAAUAUUUAUAUAUAAUUCAUACAAAUACACUUUU